GGCGAGGUAGCUCAGUUGGUUAGAGCGCAUGAUUCAUAAUCAUGAGGUCGGCGGUUCAAUCCCGCCUCUCGCUACAA
rnacentral:tRNA from 1 species